rnacentral:rRNA from 1 species
AGAGGAAGUAAAAGUCGUAACAAGGUUUCCGUAGGUGAACCUGCGGAAGGAUCAUUAUUGAAAUAAACCUGAUAAGUUGCUGCUGGUUCUCUAGGGAGCAAUGUGCACACUUGUCAUUUUUGUAUCUUCACCUGUGCACCUUUUGUAGACCUGACUAUCUCUCUGAAUGCUUUUAUAGCACUCAGGAUUGAGAAUUGACUUCUUGUCUCUUCUUAUAUUUUCAGGUCUAUGUUUCUUCAUAUACCCUCAUGUAUGUUUAUAGAAUGUMAUUAAUGGGCCUUUGUGCCUAUAAACCUUUACAACUUUCAGCAACGGAUCUCUUGGCUCUCGCAUCGAUGAAGAACGCAGCGAAAUGCGAUAAGUAAUGUGAAUUGCAGAAUUCAGUGAAUCAUCGAAUCUUUGAACGCACCUUGCGCUCCUUGGUAUUCCGAGGAGCAUGCCUGUUUGAGUGUCAUUAAUAUUAUCAACCUUUUUGGUUGGAUGUGGGUUUGCUGGCCUCUUGAGGUCAGCUCUCCUUAAAUGCAUUAGCGGACAACAUAUUUGCCAACCGUUUAUUGGUGUGAUAAUUAUCUACGCUAUUGACGUGAAGCAAGGUUCUGCUUCUAACAGUCCAUUGACUUGGACAAGCCAUCUUUUAUUAAUAUGACCUCAAAUCAGGUAGGACUACCCGCUGAACUUAAGCAUAUCAAU